GACGAACGCUGGCGGCGUGCCUAAUACAUGCAAGUAGAACGCUGAAGAGAGGAGCUUGCUCUUCUUGGAUGAGUUGCGAACGGGUGAGUAACGCGUAGGUAACCUGCCUUGUAGCGGGGGAUAACUAUUGGAAACGAUAGCUAAUACCGCAUAACAAUGGAUGACACAUGUCAUUUAUUUGAAAGGGGCAAUUGCUCCACUACAAGAUGGACCUGCGUUGUAUUAGCUAGUAGGUGAGGUAACGGCUCACCUAGGCGACGAUACAUAGCCGACCUGAGAGGGUGAUCGGCCACACUGGGACUGAGACACGGCCCAGACUCCUACGGGAGGCAGCAGUAGGGAAUCUUCGGCAAUGGGGGCAACCCUGACCGAGCAACGCCGCGUGAGUGAAGAAGGUUUUCGGAUCGUAAAGCUCUGUUGUAAGUCAAGAACGAGUGUGAGAGUGGAAAGUUCACACUGUGACGGUAGCUUACCAGAAAGGGACGGCUAACUACGUGCCAGCAGCCGCGGUAAUACGUAGGUCCCGAGCGUUGUCCGGAUUUAUUGGGCGUAAAGCGAGCGCAGGCGGUUUGAUAAGUCUGAAGUUAAAGGCUGUGGCUCAACCAUAGUUCGCUUUGGAAACUGUCAAACUUGAGUGCAGAAGGGGAGAGUGGAAUUCCAUGUGUAGCGGUGAAAUGCGUAGAUAUAUGAAGGAACACCGGUGGCGAAAGCGGCUCUCUGGUCUGUAACUGACGCUGAGGCUCGAAAGCGUGGGGAGCGAACAGGAUUAGAUACCCUGGUAGUCCACGCCGUAAACGAUGAGUGCUAGGUGUUGGAUCCUUUCCGGGAUUCAGUGCCGCAGCUAACGCAUUAAGCACUCCGCCUGGGGAGUACGACCGCAAGGUUGAAACUCAAAGGAAUUGACGGGGGCCCGCACAAGCGGUGGAGCAUGUGGUUUAAUUCGAAGCAACGCGAAGAACCUUACCAGGUCUUGACAUCCCGAUGCUAUUUCUAGAGAUAGAAAGUUACUUCGGUACAUCGGUGACAGGUGGUGCAUGGUUGUCGUCAGCUCGUGUCGUGAGAUGUUGGGUUAAGUCCCGCAACGAGCGCAACCCCUAUUGUUAGUUGCCAUCAUUCAGUUGGGCACUCUAGCGAGACUGCCGGUAAUAAACCGGAGGAAGGUGGGGAUGACGUCAAAUCAUCAUGCCCCUUAUGACCUGGGCUACACACGUGCUACAAUGGUUGGUACAACGAGUUGCGAGUCGGUGACGGCAAGCUAAUCUCUUAAAGCCAAUCUCAGUUCGGAUUGUAGGCUGCAACUCGCCUACAUGAAGUCGGAAUCGCUAGUAAUCGCGGAUCAGCACGCCGCGGUGAAUACGUUCCCGGGCCU
rnacentral:rRNA from 1 species